rnacentral:lncRNA from 1 species
GUUUGACCAUGGGAAGAUACACUCCCAACAUGUAGGUGGCCUCAUCAGAAGGCAAGCCUGCUCAAUUCAUUUCUUCAGACAUCACUCCGAAAUUGCCAGAGUGGUUUCCCACUGACAGACUUCAUCGCUGUACUGCACAUCUCUUCACUACAAAUGGGGAGAUGAGACAGAGACAAAAAGAGAAAUGGAUUUACUGUGCUGGGGAAGUUAAGCACACACUGGGUUGGAAUUUCAUUUCCACUGAAUUAGAAGCUCUGGCUCAGCACGGAUGACACAGUGAUGCUCCUUUAAUAACACAAAAUAAAUAAAACAUGGAAAAGGUUUUCCAGUUUGUUUUGGGGGAUGUUCAUGCACACAUUCUCUGCCUCUCUCUCUCCAGGAACAUUGGACACUCUCUUAUUGCCUUUGUGCUACUUCAAAGCUGCAAAGAUUGACCUUAGCCUUAAAUAAAGUCAGAAAAUGCUUGAAUCCCUG